CUCUUAACCAAAGAGUGUGGAGACACUGGUAUGGUAUACAGGUGAGAUGUAAGGGUACAUCUGCACUGAACGUGACCGACUCCGGAGCUAUUUCUGCUGUCAAGAUUUACUCUGAUGGAAUAUGAGUAUAAAUAUCCUUCCGACCUGAGACCGCCAUGGUGACUUGCAAGCAACUCACUGCACUUAGGCACUGGACUACCUGAAUUUCUAAUUCAAUGACGGAAGGUUGCUGGGUGUAGUCAAGUACUUGACUUAUCGGUGUGUGUGUCAAGAUGGGAUUAACCACUCCAAUUUAGGAGAUGUGUACAGUCGUGUUUCAAUUUAGCAAAACCUUGGCCAGGGUAGUCCUUGUGAGGAGUCACAGGACUGUUUGAGUUGAGCACGAUUCGGAUGAUCCAAUCAGGGUUGACAGUUUAAACCCUGAGUCAUCCUAAAACAUAGGGGUCAUAAGGAUGAAUUAUAUAGUAACCAU
rnacentral:lncRNA from 1 species